ACUCCUACGGGAGGCAGCAGUGGGGAAUUUUGGACAAUGGGGGCAACCCUGAUCCAGCAAUGCCGCGUGAGUGAAGAAGGCCUUCGGGUUGUAAAGCUCUUUUGUCAGGGAAGAAACAGCAGCUCUAACACAGUGUGCGAAUGACGGUACCUGAAGAAUAAGCACCGGCUA
rnacentral:rRNA from 1 species